rnacentral:rRNA from 1 species
UACAGAGGGUGCAAGCGUUGCUCGGAAUCAUUGGGCGUAAAGGGUAGGUAGGUGGUCUCAUUUGUCUCGGGUGAAAGCCUUGGGCUUAACCCAAGAAGUGCCCGAGAAACGGUGAGACUGGAGUCCUGGAGAGGGUCGUGGAAUUCCCGGUGAGCGGUGAAAUGCGUAGAGAUCGGGAGGAACACCAGAGGCGAAGGCGGCGACCUGGACAGGUGACUGACACUCAACUACGAAAGCGUGGGGAGCAAACAGG